GGAGCAAUCCUGGUGGCGAGUGGCGAACGGGUGAGUAAUGUAUCGGAACGUACCUUUCAGUGGGGGAUAACGUAGCGAAAGUUACGCUAAUACCGCAUAUUCUGUGAGCAGGAAAGCAGGGGAUCGCAAGACCUUGCGCUGAUUGAGCGGCCGAUAUCAGAUUAGCUAGUUGGUGAGGUAAAGGCUCACCAAGGCGACGAUCUGUAGCGGGUCUGAGAGGAUGAUCCGCCACACUGGAACUGAGACACGGUCCAGACUCCUACGGGAGGCAGCAGUGGGGAAUUUUGGACAAUGGGCGCAAGCCUGAUCCAGCCAUGCCGCGUGAGUGAAGAAGGCCUUCGGGUUGUAAAGCUCUUUCAGCCGGGAAGAAAACGCAUGGGUUAAUACCCUGUGUGGAUGACGGUACCGGAAUAAGAAGCACCGGCUAACUACGUGCCAGCAGCCGCGGUAAUACGUAGGGUGCGAGCGUUAAUCGGAAUUACUGGGCGUAAAGCGUGCGCAGGCGGUUUGUUAAGAUAGGCGUGAAAUCCCCGGGCUCAACCUGGGAACUGCGUUUAUGACUGGCAAGCUAGAGUAUGGCAGAGGGGGGUGGAAUUCCACGUGUAGCAGUGAAAUGCGUAGAGAUGUGGAGGAACACCGAUGGCGAAGGCAGCCCCCUGGGCCAAUACUGACGCUCAUGCACGAAAGCGUGGGUAGCAAACAGGAUUAGAUACCCUGGUAGUCCACGCCCUAAACGAUGUCAACUAGGUGUUGGGAGGGUAAAACCUUUUAGUACCGGAGCUAACGCGUGAAGUUGACCGCCUGGGGAGUACGGCCGCAAGGUUAAAACUCAAAGGAAUUGACGGGGACCCGCACAAGCGGUGGAUGAUGUGGAUUAAUUCGAUGCAACGCGAAAAACCUUACCUACCCUUGACGUGUCCGGAAGCCCUUAGAGAUUUGGGUGUGCUCGAAAGAGAGCCGGAACACAGGUGCUGCAUGGCUGUCGUCAGCUCGUGUCGUGAGAUGUUGGGUUUCCCGCAACGAGCGCAACCCUUGUCGUUAAUUGCCAUCAUUUAGUUGGGCACUUUAACGAGACUGCCGGUGACAAACCGGAGGAAGGUGGGGAUGACGUCAAGUCCUCAUGGCCCUUAUGGGUAGGGCUUCACACGUCAUACAAUGGUCGGUACAAAGGGUCGCCAACCCGCGAGGGGGAGCCAAUCCCAGAAAGCCGAUCGUAGUCCGGAUCGUAGGCUGCAACUCGCCUGCGUGAAGUCGGAAUCGCUAGUAAUCGUGGAUCAGCAUGUCAUGGUGAAUACGUUCCCGGGUCUUGUACACACCGCCCGUCACACCAUGGGAGCGGGUUCCGCCAGAAGUAGGUAGCCUAACCGCAAGGAGGGCGCUUACCACGGCGGGGUUCGUGACUGGGGUGAAGUCGUAACAAGGUA
rnacentral:rRNA from 1 species